rnacentral:rRNA from 1 species
UGGGGAAUAUUGCACAAUGGGCGAAAGCCUGAUGCAGCGACGCCGCGUGCGGGAUGAAGGCCUUCGGGUUGUAAACCGCUUUUAAUUGGGAGCAAGCGAGAGUGAGUGUACCUUUUGAAUAAGCACCGGCUAACUACGUGCCAGCAGCCGCGGUAAUACGUAGGGUGCAAGCGUUAUCCGGAAUUAUUGGGCGUAAAGAGCUCGUAGGCGGUUUGUCACGCCUGGUGUGAAAGUCCAUCGCUUAACGGUGGAUCUGCGCCGGGUACGGGCAGGCUAGAGUGCAGUAGGGGAGAUUGGAAUUCCCGGUGUAACGGUGGAAUGUGUAGAUAUCGGGAAGAACACCAAUGGCGAAGGCAGAUCUCUGGGCUGUUACUGACGCUGAGGAGCGAAAGCAUGGGGAGCGAACAGGAUUAGAUACCCUGGUAGUCCAUGCCGUAAAACGGUGGAUGCUGGAUGUGGGACCCUUCCACGGGUUCCGUGUCGGAGCUAACGCGUUAAGCAUCCCCGCCUG